CCUUCUGCACCCAAACUCCCUCCCAGAGCCUGCACCCCAAUCCCAUCCCCCAGACCUCCCGCACCCAAACUCCUGCCCAGAGUCUUAGGCCUGUGGGGGGUGGAGUUUGGGGGGUGGGUUCUGGGCAGCAUGACUGACAUUGGCCUGUUGGGAGGAUUUGAGUUUGACCCCUGCUCUAUAGCCUGACUUAGUGACACAAUACUUUAGCAGGCUCCCCUCCCCUAGCUGGGGCCUGAUGAAUAGCAGAGGAAAACAAAGCACCAUAGAAUGGGUUACACUGCAUAGGAGAACUCUCUCACUCCUCAAAACAAUUUGGCACUAAUUUCCCUCCAAGUGGUGUAAGAAACUGGGGUUAUGAGACAGUUACAGCGAGGUGAUUUGAGAGCCUUCCCCACCCCUUCCAUGGCCUAAGUUGUGCAUCAACUCUUUACUUCUCUCCAGCAAGAUACACAGAGUAGGGGCUAGAGUAGAAGUGCUGCUUUGCGUCUGAGGCAGGGAGACAUUCCUUUCUCUAGAUCUAGCCUUUGGCGAGGAUUUCUAAAGGGAUAGCUGGCACAUCCUCACCCUGGCAGGGGGAGAGAGGGUUUGCUUGCAUUCCUACUGCAGAGCCGGAAGUUGCUUUUAAAAAAAAACAGGAGCGAUCAUUUUUUAAACAAUGUAAACCUACUCUCUGCACCACCAGGCUUUAAGUUGGCUCCCCUGGAAGGCUAUCUUGCAAGGUUUGAACCUCCACCGUGCAAGACAACAAAUGAAGUGGGUUCUUGUAGGGGCCGUCAUGCCAUUCUCAAACUCCAUAGGCCCCUGCCAUAAAGACCAGCAACGUGUGUGUUUGUUUGUUUUCUCUCUCUCUCUCUUUUCCUUUUCCCUGAACUCCAUGGGCUCUAUUUCAAAUCAAUCCCCUUUACACAGCAAAAAAGUAUCGGUCUGGUCCACCUUCCUCCCUUUCCCUGCUCUAUGCCAGAGCUGAGGCUGGAUGCUGCGUUUGUUUUUGAUUUUGGCCUAAGAGCUCACUGGGAUGUACCUAUGACAAAAUAUGCAGCACAGUGGAUUAAGACCAUAGACAAGGCAGCCUGCCAAACAGAAUCCACAGCGGGAUGGGCUCCUUGGCCUGCUGAAGCCAGCCUAGCCCACAGUUUCAUUUAAAGCAACCUUCCAAGGUGGUCCUGAAAGUUGAUCAGCCCAUUCCCCCAAACCGUGAUAAUUAAACAAAAUGUUAUUCAUCAAAAAAUGCUGUACAUGUGUGGCACUUCACACCUUCCAGCUGAGUGCCCUACGUGCUGGACUAGAGUUAUUCCCAUUGUCUCUCUCCGGCCCAAUCAUUCAAUUUAUUUAUCCACAGUGCAACAUCUUCAAUAGGACAGACUGAGGGAGCCCCACAUCAGAAUAUCACAGAGACCAGUGACUAAAGCACUCUCCUGAGAUGUGGGAGAGCCCAGUUCCAAUUCUUUCUCCCCUGUGCCAGGCAGCGGGGAAUUGGCUAGGACUCCCACAUCUUAGGUGAGUACUUUAACUACUG